UAAACGACUCUCGGCAACGGAUAUUCGGCUUACGCAUCGAUGAAGAACGUAGCAAAAUGCGAUACUUGGUGUGAAUUGCAGAAUCCCGUGAACCAUCGAGUUUUUGAACGCAAGUUGCGCCCGAAGCCAUCUGGUUGAGGGCACGUCUGCCUGGGCGUCACG
rnacentral:rRNA from 1 species